GAAGUAAAAGUCGUAACAAGGUCUCCGUUGGUGAACCAGCGGAGGGAUCAUUAUCGAGUUUACAACUCCCAAACCCAAUGUGAACAUUACCUAUCGUUGCUUCGGCGGGUUCGCCCCGGGCGCUCGUUAUGCGCGUGCCCCGGAUCCAGGCGCCCGCCGGAGGAAUCCAAACUCAUGUUUUAUCAGUGGUAUCUUCUGAGUAGCCGCAAGGCAAAACAAAUAAAUUAAAACUUUUAACAACGGAUCUCUUGGUUCUGGCAUCGAUGAAGAACGCAGCGAAAUGCGAUAAGUAAUGUGAAUUGCAGAAUUCAGUGAAUCAUCGAAUCUUUGAACGCACAUUGCGCCCGCCAGUAUUCUGGCGGGCAUGCCUGUCCGAGCGUCAUUUCAACCCUCGGGCGACCGCUUUGCCGCGGGAGCCCGGCGUUGGGGAUCGGCCGUCGUUAGUGGCGGCCGGCCCCGAAAUCUAGUGGCGGUCUCGCUGUAGCUUCCUCUGCGUAGUAACAUUUCGUCUCGCAGUCUGGAGAGCGGCGCGGCCAUGCCGUAAAACCCCCGACUUUAUCAAGGUUGACCUCGGAUCAGGUAGGAAUACCCGCUGAACCUAAGCAUAUCAAUA
rnacentral:misc_RNA from 1 species